rnacentral:rRNA from 1 species
AACGUAGGUUCCGAGCGUUAUCCGGAUUUACUGGGCGUAAAGCGCGUUCAGGCGGUUUGGCAAGUCGGGCAUGAAAUCUCUCGGCUCAACCGGGAGAGGUUGUCCGAUACUUCCAGACUUGAGGGCAGUAGAGGGUGGUGGAAUUCCGGGUGUAGUGGUGAAAUGCGUAGAUAUCCGGAGGAACACCAGUGGCGAAAGCGGCCACCUGGACUGCACCUGACGCUGACAUGCGAAAGCUAGGGGAGCGAACGGG